rnacentral:rRNA from 1 species
CGACACACUAUCGUUAACUGAAUACAUAGGUUAACGAGGCGAACCGGGGGAACUGAAACAUCUAAGUACCCCGAGGAAAAGAAAUCAACCGAGAUUCCCCCAGUAGCGGCGAGCGAACGGGGAGCAGCCCGGAGUCUGAAUCAGCUUGUGUGUUAGUGGAACGGUCUGGAAAGUCCGACGGUACAGGGUGAUAGUCCCGUACACGAAA